rnacentral:tRNA from 1 species
UUCGUAGCUCAGCGGAUAGAGCGUUCGCCUCCGGAGCGAAAGGUCGAGGGUUCGAAUCCCUUCGAGCC